CCAAGUCCAUGAGGCAGGCCGGCGGCUACGAGGUGAUCAAGAAGGCCAUCGAGAAGCUUGGCAAGCGCCACAUGCAGCACAUCGCCGCCUACGGCGAGGGCAACGAGCGCCGCCUCACCGGCCACCACGAGACCGCCGACAUCAACACCUUCAAAUGGGUACGUGCUGCCACAUCUGUUGUACUACUGUGUUGCCUGUCGUGUCUGACUCUUACCUGACGAUGAUGAAUCGAUGAUGAUGAUGAUGAUGAUGCAUUUAGGGCGUGGCGGACCGCGGCGCGUCCAUCCGCGUGGGGCGCGACACGGAGAAGGACGGCAAGGGCUACUUCGAGGACCGCAGGCCGGCCUCCAACAUGGACCCCUACGUCGUCACCUCCAUGAUCGCCGAGACCACGCUUCUCCUCUGAGCACACGGCCGGCAAUGCCUACUCCACCGCCAGAUGACACUUUGGGCAGGCUCUCGUCUCGACUCUCUCGAUCGAGGGUGGUGAUUGAUUUCUGCAAAACGUUUCCCGUUUCC
rnacentral:lncRNA from 1 species